rnacentral:rRNA from 1 species
GUGUGGUAGGGGCAGAGGGAAUUCCCGGUGUAGCGGUGAAAUGCGUAGAUAUCGGGAAGAACACCAGUGGCGAAGGCGCUCUGCUGGGCCAUAACUGACGCUCAUGGACGAAAGCCAGGGAGCGAAAGGGAUUAGAUACCCCUGUAGUCCUGGCCGUAAACGAUGAACACAAGGUGUCGGGGGAAUCGACCCUCUCGGUGUCGUAGCCAACGCGUUAAGUGUUCCGCCUGGGGAGUACGCACGCAAGUGUGAAACUCAAAGGAAUUGAGGGGGGCCCGCACAAGCGGUGGAGUAUGUGGUUUAAUUCGAUGCAACGCGAAGAACCUUACCAGGGUUUGACAUCCUGCGAAUCCCUUGGAAACGAGGGAGUGCCUUCGGGAGCGCAGAGACAGGUGGUGCAUGGCUGUCGUCAGCUCGUGUCGUGAGAUGUUGGGUUAAGUCCCGCAACGAGCGCAACCCACGUCGUUAGUUGCCAGCAUUGAGUUGGGCACUCUAGCGAGACCGCCGGUGAUAAACCGGAGGAAGGUGUGGAUGACGUCAAGUCAUCAUGCCCCUUACAUCCUGGGAUACACACGUACUACAAUGCUACGGACAAAGGGCAGCAAACUCGCGAGAGUUAACAAAUCCCAUAAACCGUGGCUCAGUUCAGAUCGUAGGCUGCAACUCGCCUACGUGAAGGAGGAAUCGCUAGUAAUCGCAGGUCAGCAUACUGCGGUGAAUACGUUCCCGGGCCUUGUACACACCGCCCGUCACACCAUGGAAGUUGGUCACGCCCGAAGCCGUUACUCCAACCCUUGUGGAGGAGGACGUCGAAGGUGGGGCUGAUGACUGGGGUGAAGAAGUAACAAGGUAGCCGUACCGGAAGGUGCGGCUGGAUCACCUCCUAA